rnacentral:tRNA from 2 species
GGGGUUCUGGCCGAGUGGUUAAGGCGCUGUGUUUAGGUCAAACCGAAAACCGCAGUGGGAAACCGCGCAGGUUCGAAUCCUGCGGACCUCA